UGGGAACGUGCCCUUUGGUUCGGAAUAACUCAGGGAAACUUGAGCUAAUACCGGAUAAGUCCGUAAGGAGAAAGAUUUAUCGCCGAAGGAGCGGCCCGCGUCCGAUUAGCUAGUUGGUGGGGUAAUGGCCCACCAAGGCUACGAUCGGUAGCUGGUCUGAGAGGAUAACCAGCCACACUGGGACUGAGACACGGCCCAGACUCCUACGGGAGGCAG
rnacentral:rRNA from 1 species